GAGACUUUGUGCCAUGGAGGCUUAUAAAAGAUGGGUUAGGAGGAAUAAAGACUACGUGCACUCACUGGAAUCUCUUACCAAUGGAUUGACGUGGCUUCUUCCUGAGCGGUUUUCUGCUUCAGAGAUAGGACCAGAAGCAGUAACUGCUAUCUUGGGCAUAAUCACUGCUAUCAACGAGCAUAUAAUCGAAACGACUCCAACCCAAUGGCAGGCUGGCUUUGUAGAGCCAUUUUCUUUCCCUUAUUCAUUGUGCAUAUCUGCGG
rnacentral:misc_RNA from 1 species